GACGAACGCUGGCGGCGUGCUUAACACAUGCAAGUCGAACGGAAAGGCCCUGCUUUUGUGGGGUGCUCGAGUGGCGAACGGGUGAGUAACACGUGAGUAACCUGCCCUUGACUUUGGGAUAACUUCAGGAAGCUGGGGCUAAUACCGGAUAGGAGCUCCUGCUGCAUGGUGGGGGUUGGAAAGUUUCGGCGGUUGGGGAUGGACUCGCGGCUUAUCAGCUUGUUGGUGGGGUAGUGGCUUACCAAGGCUUUGACGGGUAGCCGGCCUGAGAGGGUGACCGGCCACAUUGGGACUGAGAUACGGCCCAGACUCCUACGGGAGGCAGCAGUGGGGAAUAUUGCACAAUGGGUGGAAGCCUGAUGCAGCAACGCCGCGUGCGGGAUGACGGCCUUCGGGUUGUAAACCGCUUUCGCCUGUGACGAAGCGUGAGUGACGGUAAUGGGUAAAGAAGCACCGGCUAACUACGU
rnacentral:rRNA from 1 species